CGAGUAUUCCUCUGCGUUGAAGUCAUUGUUGAAGUUUGAAAACUCAUAAAGUUUUGUUUUGUGAGUGAAACCGUGAAUAAUACUAAAUAAAAAUGUGUGACAGUGAUCACAGUGAUGAAAAUAUGUUGCCCACUACUCCUCAGGAAAUAUUAAAGCCUUUUCCGUUUAUGUUGUUCCGUUGUUUGCUAUUUUGACAACUUGAAAAGUUUUAUCGGCAGUUUGCGUGUUAUUACUGUGAAGUGUUUGGCCAAACCGCCGCUACCACUUUUGAAAGGAUGCCACCCAAAAAUCCAAAAAUUCGCUCGAACGCAGCACAAAUUAGAUUGCUCGUUGAAUACAUGUCACAGCACACCCGGUUCGCCAACCGGGAAUUUGACGGGCCUCUAAGGACCCCAGAGGUACGAGGCGCAAUGGGAGGCCCUUGCACAGGCCUUAAGGGAGCACGGGCCCAAUAAGUCAGUGCAGGCAUGGAAAGUGGUUCAUUUUUAUGGGGUGACAUAGACUACAUAAUAAUAUUUAACUGACUUUGGACAAGGAAGAGGUGCUAUAGUUAAGAAAAAAAUCAUAGUCGGGUAAAAGUUUUUACAAUCUUUUGCUUGUUUUCAUUCUUAUAACAAAUAUUUUAAACUUGCAUGUGCUCAUUGCCUCAGAUUGACGACUACGUUGAGUUUUCGGGUGCUGGGAACAGUGUGGCUGGCAGCACGUUUUCUGCCACUGCUGAAAAUCUCGUUGUUGUUCCAACAACCGCCACCGUUACUGCGGCCUUGCUCAGCGAACAACCCCACUUCUCCACCUCUCAUUUGUCCUCGUCUCCCUCUCCUUCUGCCAGCCCUAUACGCUCCACGCAUUCAGUACUGCCCACAAGUCCUGGACUACCCGAACGUCCCUCUCUUGCCGCCCUUUCCGCCCGCUAUGCCCGUCCCGCCCUUCUCGCUCGUUCCGCAAUAACCGCCCAACCCGCACGUCUUCUCCUGCCUGCACGUCAAGUACACAGCUCUGUGUACGUGGAUCCGCGCCCUGCACGCGUAUCCACGUACACAGAGCUGUGUACUUGCCCCGCAACCGCACGACGGAACCGGCACCUUCGACAGCACAAUUUAAUCAUCUGCAGCAUGAGCAUGAUAAUAUUUUAAGAGUAAUUAAUUAAUUUAUGAACUAAUAAUUCUGUUUUAAGAUCAGGUUGAGUACGAGAAACAUUGUUUAUUUAACUUGGGACAAGAAAAACAGUAACUUGGCAGUAAGAAUGCAUACAUAAAGCCUGUAAGCUCCAUACUUGACGUACCAUUCCCUACAAGUGUUUCUCUUGCCUCCAUAUUUCGCUUACCCCAUCUGACCUUAUUUGUAUUGAUAAAACAUACAAAUAAUAAAUAUAUAUAUACGCGAGCAAUCGCAAAAUCUACAUUUCGGGAUUUCUCGUAUCGUACAGUGCCGUUUAAAUAAAAUAACACCACCAACUACCCAUAAGAGGGUUAUUAUGAAACUUAUAAUUAACAUGCAUUUUAUUGAAAGGCUGGAAUUUUAUUUAUCUUGAAAUCUUGACCAUGGUCAUAUGUUUGACUGGACGGUACACGGCAAUGUUAUUAUUACUAAUAUAUUUCAUAACACUAGACUUAUUCAAUCCUAAGUAACCUAUUAGCUUCUCAUUCGUGUGCGGUAUAUAUCAGCGUUUGGUAGUAUCAUAAUAGUCAAAUCUGGUGUUGGUUGUUGUUAAUAGUUAAAUGUUCAUAAAAUUUGACAACUUAUUAUAGUUAUAUUUUGUGUGAGUCAGUUAUCAUAACAGAAAUAAGAUAUAAAGCUGUUAAUACCGUAAAUUGUGUAUGGAUAUGUUUGACUCAAAUUCUGUAUUCCCACAAUAAGUAGGUAUACGGGGAGCCCGUAAGAAAUCAGUGGUAUAUGAAGGCUUUCUUGUGCAACUUUAGUAUGAGCUGGAACAAGUAAAUGUAGUUAUGUAGAACAGAUAAUCUCCAUUGUGGUAGAUGGCGCUAUUUAUUAUGUGCUCUGUGAUACCACUUAGUUUAAACUUGCUAUAACAUAUUUUAUGUUGACAGGAUAUCCUGAACGAACUGAAAAUUUUUAAUGAGGCGCAGAAACAAAAAUGGAGUGUUUUGAAGGAGGGGCACGACUUGUUGGCGAAUCGUAUUAACACAUUGGAGGACACCGAGAUUAUUGAGAACUUGGAAGACACAGUUAUAAUGGAAGAGGAAGACGUCUGAGCUAAGCGCUGUCCUCGCACCCUCCGUCUAGUUUACGUUUGCGGCCAUAUCAAAAAUACACACCGUAUGUUUAUUAGGGUUCCGUACCAAAAAGGUACAAAAGGAACCCUUAUGGUGCUAUUGCUAAAUAUCUCGAGAAGUACUUAAGCUAUCGAUGUGAAAUUUGGAAUAGUAAUGAAUAACGCUGACCCAAACAUA